rnacentral:rRNA from 1 species
GUAGUCCACGCAGUAAACGAUGAAUACUAGGCGAGGGGUUUGCUUGACAAACUUCGUGCCGUAGCUAACGCGAUAAGUAUUCCGCCUGGGGAGUACGGCCGCAAGGUUAAAACUCAAAGGAAUUGACGGGGACCCGCACAAGCGGUGGAGCAUGUGGUUUAAUUCGAUGCAACGCGAAGAACCUUACCUACCCUUGACAUGUAUGGAAUCUUGCAGAGAUGUGAGAGUGCCCGCGAGGGAGCCAUAACACAGGUGCUGCAUGGCUGUCGUCAGCUCGUGUCGUGAGAUGUUGGGUUAAGUCCCGCAACGAGCGCAACCCUCGCCCUUAGUUGCCAUCAUUCAGUUGGGCACUCUAAGGGGACUGCCGGUGAUAAGCCGCGAGGAAGGUGGGGAUGACGUCAAGUCCUCAUGGCCCUUACAGGCUGGGCUACACACGUGCUACAAUGGCGGUGACAAUGGGCAGCGAACCCGCAAGGGGGAGCUAAUCUCAAAAAGCCGUCUCAGUUCGGAUUGCACUCUGCAACUCGAGUGCAAGAAGUUGGAAUCGCUAGUAAUCGUGGAUCAGAACGCCACGGUGAAUACGUUCCCGGGCCUUGUACACACCGCCCGUCACACCAUGGGAGUUGGUUUUACCUUAAGACGGUUUGCUAACCGCAAGGAGGCAGCCGGCCACGGUAAGGUCAGCGACUGGGGUG